UGCCUUUUGAACUGUUGAGAGUCAAAAUCACGUCUUUGCAGCUAAGAGGAAAAUAUGCAUCUGCCUUGAUGAAUUCUUGUUCUCUCCGCCCACAGUAGAACAUAGUUGCGCAAUACACUGGGAAUGGAGGACACUGGAAUAAUAACUGUAGAUGGAAGAGCUGGAAAAGAUGGGAAUCAGGAGGCAGACAACACAGUCCUGUUGUCUGGAAAACCUCUGCACCGCUUUGUCCAAAAGGAGCCCAGAAAUCUUGGGAUUGUCAUUCUGAUGUUUGGCUGUGCAGAGCUGUUGAUGGGAUUUCAACUAUCUGCUGAUAAUGUAUACACCUCUAAUAGGAUCUACAUCCCCUUCUGGCAGGGAGCUCUGUUUCUUGUGUGUGGAGUCCUGUCGAUCUACACAGAGUUACAUCCAUCCAAGAAGAUGUAACCUACAUAAACAUGCUGAUCGGAUCUUUCACAGGUGACAAUAUGUCUGUCCAUGUACGUGGUGUCCAUUUUGGGAAUCAUAGUCUCUCUUGGAUACAGGAUACACUGCUUUGUCAGGAUUCCCUACUAUUAUUACAUGUAUAGUGGUGAUUUUGGGGAAUCUUAUCAAUUGGAACAGGUCAUAUCUGUUGAAGGCAUAUUGUUCACAUCGUCUCUGUGCGUGUCAGGGCUUCUCAUCUUUUUGAGUGUCAUUGCACGUUUUGCACUAAAAUCCACACACACCCAGCUUAUUGUUCAUCACAUUUCAUCACCACAGAGUGACACAACGCCAAACUAAGACGGACCUUCCCAAGUAUUAUUCUGCUAAUCUCUCAUUCAGACUCCUGACUGUUUCUUGUAAAUAUAAUAGAAACCACUGUGUUGUUGAUUGCAUCAUGUUUCAAAUAAAAACCUAAGCGUGAA